UAUUUUAGUCUUGUUAGAGGAACCUGUUUUAUAAUCGAUAAACCACGUAUAUCUUACUUAUUUUAAAUAAUUUGUAUACCGUCAUUAUUAGAUAACUUUAAAAAAAUUAGUUAUUAAAAUUAAAUAAAAUUAAAUAUAUUAGAUCAAGGUGCAGUUAAUAAAUAAGAAAAAAUGGGUUACAAUAAAAAUUUAUUUAAAACGAAUUAUAUAAAUGUAAAAAUAUAUGAAGGAGGAUUUAAUUGUAAUUUUUUAUAAAAUAAUAAUAUGAUAAUAGCUCUAAAAUAU
rnacentral:rRNA from 1 species